rnacentral:rRNA from 1 species
CACGCCNUAAACGAUGUCGAUUAGCUGUUGGGCAGCAUGACUGCUUAGUAGCGAAGCUAACGCGUGAAAUCGACCGCCUGGGGAGUACGGUCGCAAGAUUAAAACUCAAAGGAAUUGACGGGGACCCGCACAAGCGGUGGAUGAUGUGGAUUAAUUCGAUGCAACGCGAAGAACCUUACCUGGUCUUGACAUGUACGGAACCCUUCAGAGACGGAGGGGUGCCUUCGGGAGCCGUAACACAGGUGCUGCAUGGCUGUCGUCAGCUCGUGUCGUGAGAUGUUGGGUUAAGUCCCGCAACGAGCGCAACCCUUGUCAUUAGUUGCCAUCAUUAAGUUGGGCACUCUAAUGAGACUGCCGGUGACAAGCCGGAGGAAGGUGGGGAUGACGUCAAGUCCUCAUGGCCCUUAUGACCAGGGCUUCACACGUCAUACAAUGGUCGGUACAGAGGGUAGCCAAGCCGCGAGGCGGAGCCAAUCUCACAAAACCGAUCGUAGUCCGGAUUGCACUCUGCAACUCGAGUGCAUGAAGUCGGAAUCGCUAGUAAUCGCAGGUCAGCAUACUGCGGUGAAUACGUUCCCGGGUCUUGUACAC